GAUGAACGCUGGCGGCGUGCCUAAUACAUGCCAGUCGAGCGAACAGACGAGGAGCUUGCUCCUCUGACGUUAGCGGCGGACGGGUGAGUAACACGUGGAUAACCUACCUAUAAGACUGGGAUAACUUCGGGAAACCGGAGCUAAUACCGGAUAAUAUAUUGAACCGCAUGGUUCAAUAGUGAAAGACGGUUUUGCUGUCACUUAUAGAUGGAUCCGCGCCGCAUUUGCUAGUUGGUAAGGUAACGGCUUACCAAGGCAACGAUGCGUAGCCGACCUGAGAGGGUGAUCGGCCACACUGGAACUGAGACACGGUCCAGACCCCUACGGGAGGCAGCAGUAGGGAAUCUUCCGCAAUGGGCGAAAGCCUGACGGAGCAACGCCGCGUGAGUGAUGAAGGUCUUCGGAUCGUAAAACUCUGUUAUUAGGGAAGAACAAAUGUGUAAGUAACUAUGCACGUCUUGACGGUACCUAAUCAGAAAGCCACGGCUAACUACGUG
rnacentral:rRNA from 1 species